GUAGCGACCAGAAAAGGACCUUGUUGUGCAAAAACAUUUGUCCCGGUUCACUGACAAAAAUUAGACAGUUGCAGAAAAGUCACGCUGGCUGGCAAGAUCUGAGCUGGACGUAAGCGAAUGCGGAGGGAUGGGCUGACUCUCUCGUCCAAAGAUGACUGCGAUGGCAACUUUCCAGCAGACCUCCGGCCGGUCCCACGAUCCAGGACUCCACUACCAUUUUGUUCAUGG